rnacentral:rRNA from 1 species
CCUACGGGAGGCAGCAGUGGGGGAUAUUGCACAAUGGGGGAAACCCUGAUGCAGCGACGCCGCGUGGGUGAAGAAGUAUUUCGGUAUGUAAAGCCCUAUCAGCAGGGAAGAAAACAGACGGUACCUGACUAAGAAGCACCGGCUAACUACGUGCCAGCAGCCGCGGUAAUACGUAGGGGGCGAGCUUUAUCCGGAUUCACUGGGUGUAAGGGGAGCGUAUGCGGUGGUGCAAGCCAUGAGUGAAAGCCCGGGGCUCAACCCCGGAACUGCGGUUGGACUUGAGCGGCGAGAGUGCGGUUGGGGCAGGCGGAAUGCCUGGUGUAGCGGUGAAAUGCGGAGAUAUCAGGCAGAACACCGGCUGCGAAGGCAGCCUACUGGGCCGCGACUGACGUUGAGGCUCGAAAGCGUGGGGAGCGAACAGGAUUAGAUACCCGGGUAGUC